ensembl:lncRNA
AUGCGGUGCCGCCUUGAGGCCCCGGCCCCGCGCUUCUUUGUCUUGGCCCAGUCCUCUGCCGUCUCCAGACUGCUACCCGCCUCUUCAGGCAGCCCUCGCCGCGCACUUCUGGGCUGCUCCGGAUCUCCUGAGUCUCAGUUCCCGCUGCCCCCAGCCCAUAGGCGUCUCCCCCGCCCAGCAGGGUCCCCCAAACCCAGUGCCUCUAGGACCGCGGAGCCGGCAAGUACCAGGAUCUCCAAGCUGCGUUUCUGGAUCUCAUCUGGCCGCCGCGUUCUGGAAGAGGCGAGGGGGAGAGCGCGCGCGAGAGGAGGAGGAGAGAGACGGCGCGGGGAAAGGGAGACGGCGAGACGCGCAGCGCCGGCGCCCGGGAGAUCCAGGAGGAGCCCGCAGUUCUUGGCAUACAGUGAAUGCUUAAGAGACUUAGCUUAUACAAAUCAUGGAAGGAGCCGAGAUGCCCUUCAACAGAUGACUGGAUUAAGAAGCUGUGGUCCAUAUAUACAAUGGAAUAUUACUCAGCUAUCAGAAAGAACGAAUUCUCAACAUUUGCUGCAACAUGGACGGCACUGGAGGAGAUAAUGCUAAGUGAAAUAAGUCAAGCAGAGAAAGACAAUUAUCAUAUGAUUUCUCUCAUCUAUGGAACAUAAGAACUAGGAUGAUCGGUAGGGGAAGAAAGGGAUAAAGAAAAGGGGGGUAAUCAGAAGGGGGAAUGAAACAUGAGAGACUAUGGACUAUGAGAAACAAACUGAAGACUUCGGAGGGGAGGGGGUGGGGGAAUGGGAUAGACUGGUGAUGGGUAGUAAGGAGGGCACGUAUUGCAUGGUGCACUGGGUGUUAUACGCAACUAAUGAAGCAUCAAACUUUACAUCGGAAUCUGGGGAUGUACUGUAUGGUGAUUUAACAUAAUAUAAUAAAAUAAAAUAAAAUAAAAAUAAAAUAAAAUUUAAAAAAAAGGAGACUUAGCUUAUAGACAUGAGUGACUUUGAAUGGUGGCACUUAUGUCUGUGCUGACUUUAGGGUCCCAGUGGGACUGCCAGGAUCAACCCCUCUUUCUCACUGACAGCUAACUUGUCUGUGGGGGGACCUGGUUGCAGUCUGGGGUAUCGUGGGUUUCAAGUUCCCCAUGGUUCAAAUGCCAGCCCCUCUGCCCUGGAUGACCUUCCCUGCACUGAGCCUCUGUUGGCUGUUCUGUAAACUGGGCGGAAUCACCUUGGCACACCCAAGGUGGCCAUGAGGGGUAGCAGCCAAGGAGGCGAUCCCCUGCACAGAACAGAGCCCAUACCAGGUGAUUUCCCCAGGGUGGCCUUGAUGUGGUUUUCAUUCCAAAUCAUUUUUUAAUUACAAAAGGAGAGACACAAUGGUUGUAAAUAGAAAAGGAAGAGACGUUGGAGGGACAUGAAUAGGUCAGAGUCCCUCUGCACAGAGGUUUUCUUGAAGGCCAAUACUUUUCCUCCUCUAAUGUGGGCCCUUAGAUUGUGUGUGUGGGUGUGUGUGUGCGCACGAGCACUUGUGCACACACACCCCCACACACACUUAAAUCUUCAUAGAGCACCUACUGUGUGUGAACCCCGAGCAUUUAGAGACGACUCAGACCCCGGCUCUGCCUUUAGGGGGCGCUCUGGGUCCUGCUGGGGAGACUGGAACCUGAUAAAUUAGCCUUUGAUGGGGAGCCCGCUGUAAGGAGAUGAGGUAAGAGGGGGGUGCACAAAGGUAGGAGUUAACGAUGGCUGGCGGGGUCGGAUGGGGAGCAGGAAGGGCUUGACAGGGCCGUGGGGUUUGCACUGGGCCUGCACAAACGUUUGGAAGUGUUUGCAGAGAGAGGGGAGCAGGAAAAGCCCUCAGGGAGAAGGAGGGAGGGAGGUAGUUGGGGACAGUCGGGCUUUGGGAUCCCGGCAGGACUGCCAGGGUCGGCCCCUCCGUGCGAAGCCACCCGUGAGAGCUUGGCGGCGGCGCGCAGCCUGUGUGUGCUGGGGCCGGGCCGGGGGGUAGGGGCGGCAAG